rnacentral:pre_miRNA from 1 species
AUCCUGUUAUAUUUUUCCACGGCUUUCUUGAACUUCACGAUCAGUACUGUUGGCAGCGGCCGCAUAGAUAACAGAUCCGGAUGACAAGCUCAAGAAAGCCGUGGGAAAAUAUAGAAGGAU